GGGGAGUACGGCCGCAAGGUUAAAACUCAAAUGAAUUGACGGGGGCCCGCACAAGCGGUGGAGCAUGUGGUUUAAUUCGAUGCAACGCGAAGAACCUUACCUGGUCUUGACAUCCACGGAAGUUUUCAGAGAUGAGAAUGUGCCUUCGGGAACUGUGAGACAGGUGCUGCAUGGCUGUCGUCAGCUCGUGUUGUGAAAUGUUGGGUUAAGUCCCGCAACGAGCGCAACCCUUAUCCUUUGUUGCCAGCGGUCCGGCCGGGAACUCAAAGGAGACUGCCAGUGAUAAACUGGAGGAAGGUGGGGAUGACGUCAAGUCAUCAUGGCCCUUACGACCAGGGCUACACACGUGCUACAAUGGCGCAUACAAAGAGAAGCGACCUCGCGAGAGCAAGCGGACCUCAUAAAGUGCGUCGUAGUCCGGAUUGGAGUCUGCAACUCGACUCCAUGAAGUCGGAAUCGCUAGUAAUCGUGGAUCAGAAUGCCACGGUGAAUACGUUCCCGGGCCUUGUACACACCGCCCGUCACACCAUGGGAGUGGGUUGCAAAAGAAGUAGGUAGCUUAACCUUCGGGAGGGCGCUUACCA
rnacentral:rRNA from 1 species